UUGGGCUGACCCCUGCGAUUAUCCCUAAUGUGGAUAACUCGGGCGCGUAAUUUUUGGUAGUCGGGACUGCGUACGCGCUGUCCCGG
rnacentral:snRNA from 12 species